AAACAUCAAUUCCUUUUAAUCCCCCCAUCCACCUCACACACUAUUCGUCUCUCUCUCUCUCCCUCUACCACCUCCCCCCUUCCCCCUCUCUCUCUCCUCUGCGAAUCUCGUCUCCGGCGCCUCCACCGCGCCUCCCUCCUUCGUCGUCGGCGACACUCACGGCUAUUCGUCGGCCUCGUCGCCCUCUCCAUCUCAACACCCAAUUUCAUCCCCA
rnacentral:lncRNA from 1 species